rnacentral:rRNA from 1 species
UACGUAGGGUGCGAGCGUUAAUCGGAAUUACUGGGCGUAAAGCGUGCGCAGGCGGUUCGCCAAGUCAGGUGUGAAAUCCCCGGGCUUAACCUGGUAAUUGCGCUUGAAACUAGCGGGCUUGAGUGUGGCAGAGGGGGGGUGGAAUUCCACGUGUAGCAGUGAAAUGCGUAGAUAUCUGGAGGAACACCGGUGGCGAAGGCGGCAUCCUGGACCGGCAUUGACGCUGAGGAGCGAAAGCCAGGGGAGCAAACGGG